ensembl:lncRNA
CCAGUUAUUCCCAGUUUCUCCCCCAGUUAUUCCCAGUUAUUCCCAGUUAUUCCCAGUUUCCCCCCGUUAUUCCCAGUUUCCCCCCCCGCCCCCCCCAGCCCCGCCCGGCCCCGCCCCCGGCGCCGCGCGCGCCCCCGGCUCAGCCAAUCAGCGUUCGCGGCCGCGGUCAGAGCCUCAGCUGCCAUGGAGACAGCCGGGGGGCGGGGCCAGCGAGGCCACGCCCAUCGCCUGCCCGCGGGUACGCCCAGAAUGGGCGGGGCCAGACGGGACCACGCCCACAAAGAGGAGGGGGGAGCGAGAAUGGGGCGGGGGGGGACAGAGGGACAGAGGGACAGAGGGACAGAGAGGGGACAGAGGGACAGAGGGACAGAGGGACAGACAGAGGGACAGAGAGGGGACAGAGGGACAGAGGGACAGAGGGACAGACAGAGGGACAGAGGGACAGAGGGACAGACAGAGGGACAGACAGAGGGACAGGGACAGAGGGACAGACAGAGGGACAGACAGAGGGACAGAGGGGACAGAGGGGGACAGAGGGACAGAGGGACAGAGAGGGGACAGAGGGGACAGAGGGGACAGAGGGACAGAGGGACAGAGGGACAGACAGAGGGGACAGAGGGACAGAGGGACAGAGGGACAGAGGGACAGAGGGACAGACAGAGGGGACAGAGGGACAGAGGGGACAGAGGGACAGACGGACAGAGGGACAGACAGAGGGGACAGAGGGACAGACAGAGGGACAGAGGGACAGAGGGACAGAGGGACAGAGAGGGACACAGGGACAGAGGGACAGAGGGACAGAGAGGGGACAGAGGGACAGAGAGGGGACAGAGGGACAGAGGGACAGAGGGACAGAGGGACAGAGGGACAGAGAGGGGACAGAGGGACAGAGGGACAGAGGGACAGAGGGACAGAGGGACAGAGGGACAGAGGGACAGAGGGACACAGGGACAGAGGGACACAGGGACAGAGGGACAGAGGGACAGAGGGACAGAGGGACAGAGGGGACAGAGGGACAGAGGGGACAGAGGGACAGAGAGGGGACAGAGGGACAGAGGGACAGAGGGACAGAGAGGGACAGAGGGACAGAGGGACAGAGGGACAGACAGAGGGACAGAGGGACAGAGGGACAGAGGGACAGAGAGGGGACAAAGGGACACACGAGGUGGCACCGCCCGGGGGUGACAAAAGUGCCACCAACAGGAGGUGCCCCUCCAGAGGGUGACAAAAAUGACCCGAAACGAGGCGGCGGCGCUGGAGAAGGACGCGGAGCUGGACCGGAGAAUCGCCGCCCUGCGCAGGAAGAACGAGGCGCUGGUGCGGCGCUACCAGGUCAGGCCGGGGGCACGACCCCUCCCCAAAAACACCCCCCGGGACCCCCCAAAAAUUCCUCAGGACUCCCCAAAAAAAUCCCCCCCGAGACUCCCAAAAGUCCCCCCGAGACUCCCCAAAAAUUCCUCAGGACUCCCCAAAAAAAUACCCCCCGAGAUCCCCCAAAAAUCCCCCCGGGACCCCCUAAAAAUUCCCCAAAAAUCCCCCCCGAGACUCCCCAAAAAUCCCCCCCGAGACUCCCCAAAAAUCACCCAAAAAUCCCCCAAAAAUUCCUCAGGACUCCCCAAAAAAAUCCCCCCGAGACUCCCCAAAAACCCCCCGGGACCCCCCAAAAAUCUCCCCUGAGAGCCCCAAAAAAUCACCCCAAAAUCCCCCUGAGACUCCCCAAAAAUCCCCCCCGGAUCUCCCAAAAAAACGCCCCCGGGACCCCCCAAAAAUCCCCCCGGGACCCCCCAAAAAAUACCCCCCAUGAUCCCCCCAAAAAUCCCCCCCCGAUCUCCCCAAAAAUCCCCCCCCAGGACCUCCCAAAAAAUACCCCCGAGAUCCCCCCAAAAAUCCCCCCGAGACUCCCUAAAAAUCACCCAAAAAUCCCCCCGGGACCCCCCAAAAAUCCCCCCGAGAUCUCCCCAAAAAUCACCCAAAACCCCCCCCCGGGACCCCUCAAAAAUCUCCCCUGAGAGCCCCAAAAAAUCACCCAAAAAUCCCCCCAAGACUCCCCAAAAAUCCCCCAAAAAUUCCUCAGGACUCCCCCAAAAAUCCCCCCAGAGAUCUCCCCAAAUAUCACCCAAAAAUCCCCCCGGGACCCCCCCAAAAAUUCCUCAGGACUCCCCAAAAAAGUCCCCCCCAAGAUCUCCCCAAAAAUCCCCCUGAAACUCCCCAAAAAUCCCCCCGGGGACCCCCCAAAAAUUCCUCAGGACUCCCCAAAAAAAUCCCCCCCGAGACUCCCCAAAAAUCCCCCCGAGACUCCCCAAAAAUCACCCAAAAGUCACCCAAAAAUCCCCCCAGGACCCCCCAAAAAAAUCCCCCCCCAGAUCUCCCCAAAAAUCCCCCCGAGAUCUCCCCAAAAAUCCCCCAAAAAUCUCCCCAGAAAUUCCUCAGGACCCCCCAAAAAUCCCCCAAAAACCCCCCCCAGGACCCCCCAAAAAUCCCCCCAAGACUCCCCAAAAAUUCCCCUCAAAGUUCUCAGGACCCCCCCAAAAAAUCCCCCCAAAGAUCUCCCCGAAAAUCCCCCCGGGACUCCCCAAAUCCCCCCCAAAAAUCCACAAAAUAAUCCCCAAAAAUUCCCUAAAAAUCCCCAAAAAUUCCUGAAAAACCCCAAAAAUUCCCAAAAAACCCCAAAAAUUCCCAAAGUUCCCCAAAUUCCAGGAGAUGGAGGAGGAUCGGCGCUGGGCUGAGUGCGAGGUGGGGGCUGGGACCCCAAAUCCUCCCCCAAAACCCCCAAAAUAAUUCCUAAAAACCCCAAAAUUUCCCCAAAAAUUCCUGAAAAAACCAAAAAAAAUUCCCAAAAAUUCCCAAAUUUCCCCAAAAUUCCCAAAUUUUCCCCAAAUCCAGGAGAUGGAGGAGGAUCGGCGCCGGGCCGAGCGCAAUGGGGGGGCUGGGACCCCAAAUCCCCCCCUAAAAAACCCAAAAUAAUCCCUAAAAACCCCAAAAAAAACCCAAAAAUUCCUCAGAAAAACCCCAGAAAAUUCCCCAAAAAACCCCAAAAAUUCCCAAAAUUCCCAAAUUUCCCAAAAUUCAGGAGAUGGAGGAGGAUCGGCGCCGGGCCGAGCGCGAGGGAGGGGCUGUGACCCCAAAUCCCCCCCAAAAACCCAAAAUAAUCCCUAAAAACCCCCAAAAUUUCUCAGAAAAACCCCAGAAAAUUCCCAAAAAACCCCAAAAAUUCCCAAAAUUCCCAAAUUUCCCGAAAUCCAGGAGAUCGAGGAGGAUCGGCGGCGGGCCGAGCGCAAUGGGGGGGCUGGGACCCCAAAUCCCCCCCCAAAAAAACCCAAAAUAAUCCAUAAAAACCCCAAAAAAACCCCCAAAAAUUCCUCAGAAAAACCCCAAACAAUUCCCAAAAAACCCCAAAAAUUCCCAAAAAUUCCCAAAUUCCCCAAAAUCCAGGAGAUUGAGGAGGAUCGGCGCCGGGCUGAGCGCGAGGGGGGGGCUGUGACCCCAAAUCCCCCCCUAAAAAACCCCAAAAUAAUCCCUAAAAACCCCAAAAAAAACCCAAAAAUUCCUCAGAAAAACCCCAAAAAAUUCCCAAAAUUCCCAAAAAACC